GUGCUUACUUCUUCAGCACACAUCCUAAAACUGUACCAAUACAGAGAUUAGCAUGGCCCUGCACAAGAAUGACAUGCAAAUUUUGAAGUGUUCCCUACAUUA